rnacentral:rRNA from 1 species
AUUGAACGCUGGCGGCAGGCCUAACACAUGCAAGUCGAGCGGAUGAAGGGAGCUUGCUCCUGGAUUCAGCGGCGGACGGGUGAGUAAUGCCUAGGAAUCUGCCUGGUAGUGGGGGAUAACGUCCGGAAACGGGCGCUAAUACCGCAUACGUCCUGAGGGUGAAAGUGGGGGAUCUUCGGACCUCACGCUAUCAGAUGAGCCUAGGUCGGAUUAGCUAGUUGGUGGGGUAAAGGCCUACCAAGGCGACGAUCCGUAACUGAACUGAGAGGAUGAUCAGUCAGAAGGGAACUGAGACACGGUCGAGACGACUACGGGAGGAAGCAGUAGGGAAUAGUCAGCAAUGGGCGAAAGCCUGACGGAGCAAAGCCGCGGGAGUGAUGAAGGUCUUCGGAUCGUAAAACUCUGUUAUUAGGGAAGAACAAAUGUGUAAGUAACUAUGCACGUCUUGACGGUACAUAAUCAGAAAGCCAAGGCUAACUACGUG